CGCCCUAGCUGAAUCUGAAAGUAAAGUGGGCAGGUUGCUCCGGGGUACCAUCGAGGCUCCCCGACUGGAGGCGCAUAUCAUGGAGGCCACCACCCAAGCUGAUCUUCCUGACAGAUAAAGGAAGAGUACCAGGAAUCGUUACCACAGACCUUACUGCAAAAUGCAGCCGAGAAAUGGAGAAAGAAAGAGAGUAUUGGGGCACACCAGGGCUUCCUGCCAC